rnacentral:rRNA from 1 species
AGAGUUUGAUCCUGGCUCAGACUGAACGCUGGCGGCAGGCCUAACACAUGCAAGUCGAGCGGAUGACGGGAGCUUGCUCCUUGAUUCAGCGGCGGACGGGUGAGUAAUGCCUAGGAAUCUGCCUGGUAGUGGGGGACAACGUUCCGAAAGGAGCGCUAAUACCGCAUACGUCCUACGGGAGAAAGUGGGGGAUCUUCGGACCUCACGCUAUCAGAUGAGCCUAGGUCGGAUUAGCUAGUUGGUGAGGUAAAGGCUCACCAAGGCGACGAUCCGUAACUGGUCUGAGAGGAUGAUCAGUCACACUGGAACUGAGACACGGUCCAGACUCCUACGGGAGGCAGCAGUGGGGAAUAUUGGACAAUGGGCGAAAGCCUGAUCCAGCCAUGCCGCGUGUGUGAAGAAGGUCUUCGGAUUGUAAAGCACUUUAAGUUGGGAGGAAGGGCAGUAAGUUAAUACCUUGCUGUUUUGACGUUACCGACAGAAUAAGCACCGGCUAACUCUGUGCCAGCAGCCGCGGUAAUACAGAGGGUGCAAGCGUUAAUCGGAAUUACUGGGCGUAAAGCGCGCGUAGGUGGUUCGUUAAGUUGGAUGUGAAAGCCCCGGGCUCAACCUGGGAACUGCAUCCAAAACUGGCGAGCUAGAGUAUGGUAGAGGGUGGUGGAAUUUCCUGUGUAGCGGUGAAAUGCGUAGAUAUAGGAAGGAACACCAGUGGCGAAGGCGACCACCUGGACUGAUACUGACACUGAGGUGCGAAAGCGUGGGGAGCAAACGGAUUAGAUACCCUGGUAGUCCACGCCGUAAACGAUGU